UACGUAGGGGGCGAGCGUUGUCCGGAAUUAUUGGGCGUAAAGGGCGCGUAGGCGGCCUUCUAAGUCGGACGUGAAAUCCCUCGGCUUAACCGAGGAACUGCGUCCGAUACUGAAAGGCUUGAAUCCGGGAGAGGGAUGUGGAAUUCCAGGUGUAGCGGUGAAAUGCGUAGAUAUCUGGAGGAACACCGGUGGCGAAGGCGACAUCCUGGACCGGUAUUGACGCUGAGGCGCGAAAGCCAGGGGAGCAAACGGG
rnacentral:rRNA from 1 species